UACGUAGGGUGCAAGCGUUAUUCGGAAUUACUGGGCGUAAAGCGUGCGCAGGCGGCUUUGCAAGUCAGAUGUGAAAUCCCCGGGCUUAACCUGGGAACUGCAUUUGUGACUGCAUGGCUGGAGUGCGGCAGAGGGGGAUGGAAUUCCGCGUGUAGCAGUGAAAUGCGUAGAUAUGCGGAGGAACACCGAUGGCGAAGGCAAUCCGCUGGGCCUGCACUGACGCUCAUGCACGAAAGCGUGGGGAGCAAACAGG
rnacentral:rRNA from 1 species